rnacentral:rRNA from 1 species
GGGUUGUGAGGUUAAGCGACUAAGCGUACACGGUGGAUGCCCUGGCAGUCAGAGGCGAUGAAGGACGUGCUAAUCUGCGAAAAGCGUCGGUAAGGUGAUAUGAACCGUUAUAACCGGCGAUGUCCGAAUGGGGAAACCCAGUGUGAUUCGUCACACUAUCGUUAACUGAAUACAUAGGUUAACGAGGCGAACCGGGGAACUGAAACAUCUAAGUACCCCGAGGAAAAGAAAUCAACCGAGAUUCCCCCAGUAGCGGCGAGCGAACGGGGAGCAGCCCAGAGUCUGAAUCAGCUUGUGUGUUAGUGGAACGGUCUGGAAAGUCCGACGGUACAGGGUGAUAGUCCCGUACACCAAAAUGCACAGGUUGUGAACUCGAAGAGUAGGGCGGGACACGUGGUAUCCUGUCUGAAUAUGGGGGGACCAUCCUCCAAGGCUAAAUACUCCUGACUGACCGAUAGUGAACCAGUACCGUGAGGGAAAGGCGAAAAGAACCCCGGCGAGGGGAGUGAAAAAGAACCUGAAACCGUGUACGUACAAGCAGUGGGAGCACCUUCGGGUGUGACUGCGUACCUUUUGUAUAAUGGGUCAGCGACUUAUAUUCUGUAGCAAGGUUAACCGUAUAGGGGAGCCGCAGGGAAACCGAGUCUUAACUGGGCGUUAAGUUGCAGGGUAUAGACCCGAAACCCGGUGAUCUAGCCAUGGGCAGGUUGAAGGUUGGGUAACACUAACUGGAGGACCGAACCGACUAAUGUUGAAAAAUUAGCGGAUGACUUGUGGCUGGGGGUGAAAGGCCAAUCAAACCGGGAGAUAGCUGGUUCUCCCCGAAAGCUAUUUAGGUAGCGCCUCGUGAACUCAUCUUCGGGGGUAGAGCACUGUUUCGGCUAGGGGGUCAUCCCGACUUACCAACCCGAUGCAAACUACGAAUACCGAAGAAUGUUAUCACGGGAGACACACGGCGGGUGCUAACGUCCGUCGUGAAGAGGGAAACAACCCAGACCGCCAGCUAAGGUCCCAAAGUCAUGGUUAAGUGGGAAACGAUGUGGGAAGGCACAGACAGCCAGGAUGUUGGCUUAGAAGCAGCCAUCAUUUAAAGAAAGCGUAAUAGCUCACUGGUCGAGUCGGCCUGCGCGGAAGAUGUAACGGGGCUAAACCAUGCACCGAAGCUGCGGCAGCGACACUAUGUGUUGUUGGGUAGGGGAGCGUUCUGUAAGCCUGCGAAGGUGUGCUGUGAGGCAUGCUGGAGGUAUCAGAAGUGCGAAUGCUGACAUAAGUAACGAUAAAGCGGGUGAAAAGCCCGCUCGCCGGAAGACCAAGGGUUCCUGUCCAACGUUAAUCGGGGCAGGGUGAGUCGACCCCUAAGGCGAGGCCGAAAGGCGUAGUCGAUGGGAAACAGGUUAAUAUUCCUGUACUUGGUGUUACUGCGAAGGGGGGACGGAGAAGGCUAUGUUAGCCGGGCGACGGUUGUCCCGGUUUAAGCAUGUAGGCUGAUUGUCCAGGCAAAUCCGGAUAAUCAAGGCUGAGGUGUGAUGACGAGGCACUACGGUGCUGAAGUAACAAAUGCCCUGCUUCCAGGAAAAGCCUCUAAGCAUCAGGUAACAUUAAAUCGUACCCCAAACCGACACAGGUGGUCAGGUAGAGAAUACCAAGGCGCUUGAGAGAACUCGGGUGAAGGAACUAGGCAAAAUGGUGCCGUAACUUCGGGAGAAGGCACGCUGGUGUGUAGGUGAAGUCCCUGCGGAUGGAGCUGAGACCAGUCGAAGAUACCAGCUGGCUGCAACUGUUUAUUAAAAACACAGCACUGUGCAAACACGAAAGUGGACGUAUACGGUGUGACGCCUGCCCGGUGCCGGAAGGUUAAUUGAUGGGGUUAUCCGUAAGGAGAAGCUCUUGAUCGAAGCCCCGGUAAACGGCGGCCGUAACUAUAACGGUCCUAAGGUAGCGAAAUUCCUUGUCGGGUAAGUUCCGACCUGCACGAAUGGCGUAAUGAUGGCCAGGCUGUCUCCACCCGAGACUCAGUGAAAUUGAACUCGCUGUGAAGAUGCAGUGUACCCGCGGCAAGACGGAAAGACCCCGUGAACCUUUACUAUAGCUUGACACUGAACAUUGAGCCUUGAUGUGUAGGAUAGGUGGGAGGCUUUGAAGCGUGGACGCCAGUCUGCGUGGAGCCAACCUUGAAAUACCACCCUUUAAUGUUUGAUGUUCUAACGUUGGCCCCUGACCGGGGUUGCGGACAGUGUCUGGUGGGUAGUUUGACUGGGGCGGUCUCCUCCCAAAGCGUAACGGAGGAGCACGAAGGUUAGCUAAUCCUGGUCGGACAUCAGGAGGUUAGUGCAAUGGCAUAAGCUAGCUUGACUGCGAGCGUGACGGCGCGAGCAGGUGCGAAAGCAGGUCAUAGUGAUCCGGUGGUUCUGAAUGGAAGGGCCAUCGCUCAACGGAUAAAAGGUACUCCGGGGAUAACAGGCUGAUACCGCCCAAGAGUUCAUAUCGACGGCGGUGUUUGGCACCUCGAUGUCGGCUCAUCACAUCCUGGGGCUGAAGUAGGUCCCAAGGGUAUGGCUGUUCGCCAUUUAAAGUGGUACGCGAGCUGGGUUUAGAACGUCGUGAGACAGUUCGGUCCCUAUCUGCCGUGGGCGCUGGAGAAUUGAGGGGGGCUGCUCCUAGUACGAGAGGACCGGAGUGGACGCAUCACUGGUGUUCGGGUUGUCAUGCCAAUGGCACUGCCCGGUAGCUAAAUGCGGAAGAGAUAAGUGCUGAAAGCAUCUAAGCACGAAACUUGCCCCGAGAUGAGUUCUCCCUGAGACUAUAAGUCUCCUGAAGGAACGUUAAAGACGAUGACGUUGAUAGGCCGGGUGUGUAAGCGCAGCGAUGCGUUGAGCUAACCGGUACUAAUGAACCGUGAGGCUUAACCUUACAACGCCGAAG